AACCUGCACAUGUACCCCGAACCUAAAAUAAUUUUUUUUUAAAUUUGUUUUUUUAAAAAAAGAAAAAAUAAUACAUUACAUCCAUCAUUGAAGAGUGAAUGGUGAAUCAUUUACUUUGGACUUUUAUUACUGAUUCCAUUCAAACCUAGAAAUGCAUCUCAGCUCUGUCCUGGACAUUCACUGUCUUUAUCCCUACUAAUAGCUGCCUGUAUUUCCAAUUCAGACUAGUUUAAACCAGGAGGCCAAAGGCAAUGGCAGCUCUAAAUGAUUGAAAUGGGUGAUUUGAGAGUCUAGUAGCCUACUGAAAGAGAGAGUCUAUACUGUUUCAAGGAAGGUUUUUGUUUGUAUAAAUUUUCAGAGAUUAUUUUAAACUAGUUAUUUAGAAAGUUUUCAGGACCACUUACUAGAUACCACUUUGUAACAAAUGCAGAAGGAGUAAAGGUAUUUUUUUUUUCAAAAGGAAAGAGUGAAAGAAAAAGGGCUCUAGAAUCAGAUCUGUGUUUCUGUCCCACUCACUAACUCUUAAGACCCUCAACAGGUUACUGAAUACUUUCUGAGCUCAAAUUUUCCUCAUUUAUCAAGCGAAAGUGAUAACAACUUCACUGUCUUACAGUGACAACUAGAUGAAAGAGUAAGUACUCAAAAUAGGUUAGAGUUUUUCUCUUUUCUUAAGUACUGCACACUGAUCCACCAGCCAAACGUGAAGCUCUUUUUAAUAACUGUUAUCAGUGUAAAAUGUAAAAGAUGUUGAGGAGGACAUUCACCAUGGCUCCACCUAGGCAUCAAUGAACUAAACCUAAGGAUAAAGUGAGUUAAAUGCCAACCUUCUAAAAAGGGUUGCAAACCAUUGAGUCCAGUCCCUCCCAUGGGCUAGCCAAGAGGAGACACAUCUCGGUACUAUCCCCAAAGGUCUCUGUAGUCCCCUCCCCAGCGUGUGAAAGAAUUGAGAGAAGUGGGGGAUUCCCAGGAAGUAUGAGUUUCAACCUGAUAAAACAAGAGUUCAUGACAGAGAUGCCUUCUUCUCUGUAAAGCCAGGUGAUGGGAAUCCCUCAUAAGGUUGGGGAUGCCUGGGAAAAGGAAAGGUAGGAUCUCAUUCCUGAAUGGUCAUCUCCCAAGGCACGCAGGAUUACUCAACUGCCCCAGAGCAUAGCUGAGGAGGAGGAAAAAAGACAGGAGAGAGCAAGGACCAGUGGUGGAGAUCUGUGCACACCCACAUUUGGAGUGCAGUUUCCUGGAUGAUGUCACAGAAAGGAGCCAGUUUUGAGUUAUCUUGUGCAGUCUCCACUGAAGAAGGCUGGGAACAGGCAUGAAGAGCUCCCAGGACAAGCAUCUGCUGUGGCUGCUGCAUCUAAUUAUGAGGGGUCAUGAGCUUCUCAAAUUUUCUCUUGGUCGUAAAAGUGAAAAAAUGUAGUUGUUUCAAGAGCCAGGAAAAUUCAAAAUGACCAAGCUUUGGCUGACAUCUUGUGGUUCAGUCUGAAAUAAGCACUUCACUAAGAAAUUAUUUGUCAGACUGGCAAAACGGGCAGCCUGCGAACAGAAGAAAGACAUGAAAUCCCACUUAUUUUGGACAAUAUGAUGCUGUCCUUUAAAGGCUGUCUGUGAGGAAGAUGCUAUGUAAUUACAGACUUAAAAAGUUAUUUUUGGCUAAUUCACAUGGCAUAGACAAGGUCCCCUUUCCUCUGCUGUCCACUGAUCUACAAUCUGAUCCCUCUGUGAUGUCAGCAGGUAUUCUGAGAACCCUGCCUGAGGAGUGCUAGAAUGUUCCAUGUGCCAUCUGUGCUCUCAAUACAUCAUACUCCAGACUGAGGCGCCAUCCAUCUCCUUUUUCAGCGCUUCACAUUCCUUCCCUAUUUUUUCUGUCUCUGGACCCCAACAUUCCACUCCAUGUAAAAAGAAGACAAGUAUCGAAUGAUGCUUCCAGAAACUUAUCACAGGAUAAACACACUCUUGAAUAAUAGUAUGCUUCUCAAAAUCAUGUUUUUUUUUUUGGUGCUAAAAAAUAUAGUGACUUCAGACAUUGACUUCUGAAUACAUCAUGAGCUGAAGUUUUGUUAGUUGGCAUUGUCUUUAAUUGAACAGGCUCUUCUGGAGUCACAUGUUACAGUCUAAGAUCUCAGGUAACUUAGGAGAACUCAGACACAAAUGUCCUAAUGGAGAAUAGACACACUGGCUAAAUUAAGACAUAGACAAAGGGCAAUGCAUUUCCUAAAUGAGCUACUCUUUCUUUCCUUCUCUUUCAUUUGAGUAUCAUGGCGAACUUUGCCCAACUUUUGAGUAGCUUUAUGGGAGAAUAAGGACUGGCUUAUAAUCACUAAAUUGCUUGGAAACUGAUCCCUCCAUAAGCAAGCAUCCACCGUGAAAUAAGUUUUCUUUGUUUUAAAAGAGGGGAAGAAAAUACAUUCUAUCCCUGAGCUGAGGGGAUUUAACCAAUAACUGACACCAAACCUGGAAGUGUCUUUAUAACUGGAAUGUCAGGAAGAUGUAUUUAUUUAUCUUUUAAAUUGUGUCCACUAAGUAAUCCAGAUUGAUGUUUGAAGAACUGAGACCUUUUCAAACUCGGUGGGACUGAGAAACAAAAGAAGGAAACUUUUAUUUUUGCUGUUGAUGUUUCUCCAGAAUCAGUGAAUCAGAAGGGGUAGUUGAUGGCCUCAUAAAGCUUCUUCUAUAAAAUUCAGUAAAGGAUCAGAACUUUCAGAGUUCCUAAAUUCUCCCUUUGAGGAUUAGGGGGUGGGUAGUAUUUUAUGGAGGUGAUAGUACCUCUAAGUUUUCAGUGGGGAAAGGAAUUUCCCAUAAAAACAUAGGGUGUGUGACUAAAGUAUAGUUUUGUUGCUGUGAGCAUAUCUUAAAAUUUUAUGGACUGAAGUUUUAUUUCUUUGCAAAACCAGUCUUAACUGUUUUACUUAGUCAAGAAUGUUUGCAUAACUCCCUUACAAAAAUGCUAGAAUUUCUGAAAUCUGCUGAACACAGAGGGUCUCUUUGAUGAGGAGAGAAUCAGCCAUCCCUGUGGCAUAAAGCCCACUUCCCACACUGUGGGAAUUUUCAUUUGGUGGGACUUUAAGUUCCUUUUGUGCUUCAAGUGUUAAUAUUGAUGAGUGGAAAUGGCAUUUCCAACAGCCUCUGUGAGCUGAAAAGUUGUAUUUUCAUUUGAUGUGACCAUGGUUGUAAGGAUCCUUAAUCUCCUGCAUUCAUAAUUUGAGUAUAUCUCUCCUGCAAUCAAGCAUGCAUAAUAAACAUUCGUUCCUUUUAUGGGACAUGCAAGAAAAUUAAUAAAUGCUGGAGAAAAGCGAACAUUUUAGGUUUUAAAAAAGAACUGAGUUUUUUCUCUGUGCUAUUGUUCAAUUAAAGGAGGUAAAAACUCCUCUUUUAUGACCCACAACUAAAAGGAAAAGGUGAAAGUAUUCAGAGCACAUCACUCACUGAGAAAUUAUAAUGUUCAAGCUGGGAAAGCAUUGAGGGAGGCGAUGGGAUUUUCUAUCCUUGGGUUUUUCAUUCAGACUUUCCCCUGUGGUGUUCAAUAGCUCCUUAAGCAUUGAGAAAACAAAGACUUUGUAGUUGUAUGGCUUGACUCCUUGAACAGGCAUGUGCCAGAUGAUCAAUAAUGUUUUUGACUCUCUUAAGGGCAUUUUACUGUUUCUCAUCUCCCAACCUUUGUGAUCUCCUUCCUUUUCCACCAUGCCUAAGGAAGAAUUUAUUUUGAUAUCUCUCUCUUAGCAUUUACACAAAUAAUACAUGAAUAUAUGUUAUUUGUCUUUAUAAAGGUUUUUAAAUCCUAUUUUGAAAACCUGACAUGAUUAAGUGCUACAAGAAUACAUAUUAGUAUUUAUAUACCACUAAUGAGAGUGGAAACUGUUUAAAAGCUUUGAAGAAUUAUUUGCUAUAUUUGGUAAAAUUGAAAAUUUGCAUCUCAUCCAGCAAUUGCCCACUUAUGUUUUUUAUAUCUGUAAAUUGGUGACAAUAAUUUUAUCUCUCAUAGCACUGAUAUGGAUAAUAAAGUGAUUUAAUAUAUGUGAAAUACUUAGAAGUUACAUUUUUAGCUUUUGAUAUGUUGCAGAUUUUAUAAUUAGUAGUAGUAUAAAUGUUAUCAUUAAUUUCCCACUUUAGGGAAACUCUUGCAAUAUCCACAAGGAGACUUGUAUAAAAUGUUGUUCGUAGUAGGAAUAAACUAUGCAAAGAAUAUAAAUAUUAAUAAAAAAUGAAGUGGAUGAAAA